CUGUAUGUUUGAAACGUCACAGCUGUUCUGGUAGCUAAUCAUAUGUCACGUUACUUGAACCGCAGUUGCUAUCAUCAUAGGAGGAACUAUUUAGCUUUACAUGCCACACUGAAUAAUCGGUAAACACUCUGGUGAAAUCGGAAGAUUUAACUUCACAGAUAGGAGCGAUAAAGUAGUUAAGGUAAACAUGACCAUGGAGGAACCAGGUGCUGAUAUAGAGGUUACUGUCAAAACUUUGGACUCCCAGAGCCGAAGUUACACUAUAGGCGGACAGUUGACAGUGAAAGAGUUCAAGGAGCACAUUGCCACUUCAGUGGACAAACAGGCUGAUCUACCAGGGCCGAGUUCUGCAGGAUGAGAGGACCCUGACAGAGUACA